CACGUAGGGUGCGAGCGUUGUCCGGAAUUAUUGGGCGUAAAGAGCUCGGUAGGCGGUGUGUCGCGUCGGCCGUGAAAACCUGCAGCUUAACUGUGGGCUUGCGGUCGAUACGGGCAUCACUGGAGUUCGGCAGGGGAGACUGGAAUUCCGUGGUGAUAGCGGUGAAAUGCGCAGAUAUCAGGAGGAACACCGAGUGGCGAAGGCAGGUCUCUGGGCAUUAACUGACG
rnacentral:rRNA from 1 species